rnacentral:tRNA from 1 species
GAGGGGGUGACCUAAACCAGCAAGAACUGCUAAUUCCUGCAUCCGAGCUUUAAACCUCGGCCCCCUUA